ensembl:lncRNA
CAAGACAGGACUUAUAUUUGAAAUGAAUCCAUUGCAUUAAAAAACAAAUAACAGCAAAAACAACCACAAAAACACCAACAGUAAAUGAUGUUACUGAAAAUGAAGAAUAAGGUGAAAGGUUCUGAAGACAUUUGAGUAAUGAGGAAGGGAAAACCUGCCUCUGGGAAGUGCCUGGAUAAGGAACUGAGCCUUAUAAAGACAACGGAUAGAGACAAACAUCUUAUUAAAGCCCUCUCAGACACUGUGGAGGUUGUGGAUCUGUAUCUCCAGUUGAAGAAAAGUGCUCUGAAUCAUCCUGCUGAACAAACCUGUAAAACAAUAACGCUGUCUUCAGCAAUGUGACGAAGGUAUUAAAACUUCACUGUAUUAUGCAGGCUAAGUGUUGACACCAGGAGAAUCACAAACACCUUCUCAAGUUGAUGUAAGGAGGUAAAAGGAAGAAGGAUCAAAUUCACCACAAAUAAUAAUUGAAGAUUUGUACAAGGAGUAGUCUCACAUCUUCCAGCAUCUAAAUUCAAAUCUGUGUUUGAUAAAAGUCUUU